CACGUGGGUAACCUGCCCAAGAGAUCGGGAUAACACCUGGAAACAGACGCUAAUACCGGAUAACAACAGAUGAUGCCUAUCAACUGUUUAAAAGAUGGUUCUGCUAUCACUCUUGGAUGGACCUGCGGUGCAUUAGCUAGUUGGUAGGGUAACGGCCUACCAAGGCGAUGAUGCAUAGCCGAGUUGAGAGACUGAUCGGCCACAUUGGGACUGAGACACGGCCCAAACUCCUACGGGAGGCAGCAGCC
rnacentral:rRNA from 1 species